GCUUUCUUCAUUUCCAAGAAAAGUGAAGACAGGUACAAUCUGAGGAGCUUCUGAACUUAUCUUGGGUAGCCGACUGGGCACAAGUUUCAGUGAACGUAUGUUUGGCGUCUGUGUUGUAUUUUUCAACUUACAAAACUUCUGUUAAAAACAAUGUUUAAUGCCAGACCUAUGGUUAACAGCCAAGCUCCCCUAAGUUAAGGCAUUUUUUGAAACCUUGCUCUGAAGUGACACCCUGUGGUAAACAAUGAUAAAGGCCAACAGUCUUUCCUGAGCAAGAACAGAAUCUACCAAAAGAUCCUCUGUGGUUUUCACAGCGCUUUCCCAAGAGCAUGAGAGCCCUUCAGGUGGACAGAGGGCAACACACUCCAGGCUGAUGGAAGACAGAAGAUGAAGAUGUGAUUAAAACCCUAACCAAACUAUUUCUGCAUGAGCAAGCGGGGCACUGUCGAUACUCUCAGAAUCACAGCAGCCGCUCCUUAUAAACCGCUCUGAACUUGCUGAUAUGCUCUGUACUGUAUACACAGCUUAUAUGACACAAAACACAAACCAACUGCUGAGAGAGGUAAUUCAGUGAAUAAACGGCAAAAGUUGGCUUUGAAUUGGUGCAGACAUUGCUGUCUCUAUUCUUAACUACUUUGAUAUAAAACAAGGAUAAGUGAAGGGAAAUGAAGAAACUUUGAGGGUUUAU
rnacentral:lncRNA from 1 species